CCUGCAGGAAAGGACAUCAACCGAGACUCCGCAAGUAGUGGCGAGCGAACGCGGACCAGGCCAGUGGCAAUGAGGAAUAAAGUGGAACGAUCUGGAAAGUUCGGCCGUAGCGGGUGAUAGCCCCGUACACGUAGAACACUCAUUGUCCUUGAGUAAGGCGGGACACGUGAAAUCCUGUCUGAACAUGGGGAGACCACUCUCCAAGCCUAAGUACUCGUGCAUGACCGAUAGCGAACAAGUACCGUGAGGGAAAGGUGAAAAGCACCCCGACAAGGGGAGUGAAAUAGAACCUGAAACCGGAUGCCUACAAACAGUCGGAGCCCGCAAGGGUGACGGCGUACCUUUUGUAUAAUGGGUCAACGACUUAGUGUGGCAUGCAAGCUUAAGCCGGUAGGUGGAGGCGUAGCGAAAGCGAGUCUGAACAGGGCGCUUUAGUAUGUCGCAUUAGACCCGAAACCGAGUGAUCUAGCCAUGAGCAGGUUGAAGGUUGGGUAACACCAACUGGAGGACCGAACCCGCAUCUGUUGCAAUAGAUUGGGAUGACUUGUGGCUAGGGGUGAAAGGCCAAUCAAACUCGGAAAUAGCUGGUUCUCCGCGAAAACUAUUUAGGUAGUGCGUCGACCGAAUACCCUCGGGGGUAGAGCACUGGAUGGGCUAUGGGGACUCACCGUCUUACUGAUCCUAACCAAACUCCGAAUACCGAGGAGUACUAGUCGGCAGACACACGGCGGGUGCUAACGUCCGUCGUGAAAAGGGCAACAACCCUGACCUCCAGCUAAGGUCCCCAAGUCAUGGCUAAGUGGGAAAGGAUGUGAGGAUCCCAAAACAACCAGGAUGUUGGCUUAGAAGCAGCCAUCAUUUAAAGAAAGCGUAACAGCUCACUGGUCUAAAUAAGGGUCUUUGCGCCGAAAAUGUAACGGGGCUGAAGCCAUGCACCGAAGCUGAGGAUACGUCGUAAGACGUGUGGUAGCGGAGCGUUCCGUAAGCCAGUGAAGGGAUACCCGUGAGGGGUCCUGGAGGUAUCGGAAGUGCGAAUGUUGACAUGAGUAACGAUAAAGAGGGUGAGAGACCCUCUCGCCGAAAGACCAAGGGUUCCUGCUUAAAGUUAAUCUGAGCAGGGUUAGCCGGCCCCUAAGACGAGGCGGACACGCGUAGUCGAUGGGAACCACGUUAAUAUUCGUGGGCCUGGUGGUAGUGACGGAUUGCUCAACUUGUCUGGACUUAUUGGAUUGUCCGGGCGGGGACGCGGUUCCAGGAAAUAGCUCCACCGUAUAGACCGUACCCGAAACCGACACAGGUGGUCAGGUAGAGUAUACCAAGGCGCUUGAGAGAACUAUGUUGAAGGAACUCGGCAAAUUGCACGCGUAACUUCGGAAGAAGCGUGACCCUUUUCUACGCAAGUAGGAUGGGGUGGCACAGACCAGGGGGUAGCGACUGUUUAUCAAAAACACAGGGCUCUGCGAAGUCGCAAGACGACGUAUAGGGUCUGACGCCUGCCCGGUGCUGGAAGGUUAAGAGGAGGGGUGCAAGCUCUGAAUCGAAGCCCCAGUAAACGGCGGCCGUAACUAUAACGGUCCUAAGGUAGCGAAAUUCCUUGUCGGGUAAGUUCCGACCUGCACGAAUGGCGUAACGACUUCCCCGCUGUCUCCAACAUAGACUCAGUGAAAUUGAAUUCCCCGUGAAGAUGCGGGGUUCCUGCGGUCAGACGGAAAGACCCCGUGCACCUUUACUAUAGCUUUACACUGGCAUUCGUGUCGGCAUGUGUAGGAUAGGUGGUAGGCUUUGAAGCGGGGACGCCAGUUCUCGUGGAGCCAUCCUUGAAAUACCACCCUUAUCGUCAUGGAUGUCUAACCGCGGUCCGUCAUCCGGAUCCGGGACAGUGUAU
rnacentral:rRNA from 1 species